UACGUAGGGGGCUAGCGUUAUCCGGAAUUACUGGGCGUAAAGGGUGCGUAGGUGGUUUCUUAAGUCAGAGGUGAAAGGCUACGGCUCAACCGUAGUAAGCCAUUGAAACUGGGGAACUUGAGUGCAGGAGAGGAGAGUGGAAUUCCUAGUGUAGCGGUGAAAUGCGUAGAUAUUAGGAGGAACACCAGUUGCGAAGGCGGCUCUCUGGACUGUAACUGACACUGAGGCACGAAAGCGUGGGGAGCAAACAGG
rnacentral:rRNA from 1 species